GACGAACGCUGGCGGCGUGCUUAACACAUGCAAGUCGAGCGAACAGGCCCUGCUUUUGUGGGGUGCUCGAGUGGCGAACAGGUGAGUAACACGUGAGUAAACUGUCCUUGAAAUUGGGAUAACUUCAGGAAAAUGGGGCUCAUACAGGAUAGGAGCUCCUGAUGCAUAGGGGGGGUUGGAGAGUGUCGGCGGUUCGGGAUCGACUCGCGGCUUAUCAGCUUCUUGGUGGAGUAGUGGCUUACCAAGGCUUUGACGGGUAGCCGGCCUGAGAGGUGGGACGGCCACCUUGGGACUGAGAUAGGGCGCAGAAGCCAAUGGGAGGCAGCAGUGGGGAAUAUUGCACAAUGGGCGGAAGCCUGAUGCAGCAAUGCCGCGUGCGGGAUGACGGCCUUCGGGUUGUAAACCGCUUUCGCCGGUGACGAAGCGUGAGUGACGGUAAUGGGUAAAGAAGCACCGGCUAACUACGUG
rnacentral:rRNA from 1 species